AUUGAACGCUGGCGGCAGGCUUAACACAUGCAAGUCGAGCGAGCGGCGGACGGGUGAGUAAUGUCUGGGCAACUGCCUGAUGGAGGGGGAUAACUACUGGAACCGGUAGCUAAUACCGCAUACCCUCAGAUGUGCCCCGAUGGGAUUAGCUAGUAGGUGGGGUAAUGUCUCCCCUCGGCGACGCUCCCUAGCUGGUCUGAGCGGCUGACCAGCAACAAUGGAACGGAGAGAGGGGCCAGACUCCUACGGGAGGCAGCAGUGGGGAAUAUUGCACAAUGGGCGCAAGCCUGAUGCAGCCAUGCCGCGUGUGGGAAGAAGGCCUUCGGGUUGUAAAGCACUUUCAGCGAGGAGGCGUUACUCGCAGAAGAAGCACCGGCUAACUCCGUGCCAGCAGCCGCGGUAAUAC
rnacentral:rRNA from 1 species